rnacentral:rRNA from 1 species
UACGUAGGGUGCGAGCGUUAAUCGGAAUUACUGGGCGUAAAGCGUGCGCAGGCGGUUUGCUAAGACAGGUGUGAAAUCCCCGGGCUUAACCUGGGAACUGCGCUUGUGACUGGCAGGCUAGAGUACGGCAGAGGGGGUGGAAUUCCUGGUGUAGCAGUGAAAUGCGUAGAUAUCAGGAGGAACACCGAUGGCGAAGGCAGCCCCCUGGGCCUGUACUGACGCUCAUGCACGAAAGCGUGGGGAGCAAACAGGAUUAGAUACCCGGGUA